rnacentral:rRNA from 1 species
AUGAACGCUGGCGGCGUGCCUAAUACAUGCAAGUCGAGCGAACGGACGAGAAGCUUGCUUCUCUGAUGUUAGCGGCGGACGGGUGAGUAACCCGUGGAUAACCUACCUAUAAGACUGGGAUAACUUCGGGAAACCGGAGCUAAUACCGGAUAAUAUUUUGAACCGCAUGAUUCAAAAGUGAAAGACGGUCUUGCUGUCACUUAUAGAUGGAUCCGCGCUGCAUUAGCUAGUUGGUAAGGUAACGGCUUACCAAGGCAACGAUGCAUAGCCGACCUGAGAGGGUGAUCGGCCACACUGGAACUGAGACACGGUCCAGACUCCUACGGGAGGCAGCAGUAGGGAAUCUUCCGCAAUGGGCGAAAGCCUGACGGAGCAACGCCGCGUGAGUGAUGAAGGUCUUCGGAUCGUAAAACUCUGUUAUUAGGGAAGAACAUAUGUGUAAGUAACUGUGCACAUCUUGACGGUACCUAAUCAGAAAGCCACGGCUAACUACGUG